UACGUAGGGGGCGAGCGUUGUCCGGAAUUACUGGGCGUAAAGCGCGCGCGGGCGGCCCGGCGCGUCGGUCGUGAAAAGCCCCGGCUCAACCGGGGUUGGUCGAUCGAGACGGUCGGGCUGGAGGGCGUCAGAGGGGGGUGGAAUGCCGGGUGGAGCGGUGAAAUGCGUAGAGAUCCGGCGGAACACCAGCGGCGAAGGCGGCCCCCUGGGGCGCACCUGACGCUGAGGCGCGAAGGCCGGGGGAGCGAACGGG
rnacentral:rRNA from 1 species